rnacentral:rRNA from 1 species
AGAGUUUGAUCCUGGCUCAGGACGAACGCUGGCGGCACGCUUAACACAUGCAAGUCGAACGAGAGAAGAGGAGCUUGCUUUUCUGAUCUAGUGGCGGACGGGUGAGUAACACGUGAGCAAUCUGCCUUUCAGAGGGGGAUACCGAUUGGAAACGAUCGUUAAUACCGCAUAACAUAAUUGAACCGCAUGAUUUGAUUAUCAAAGAUUUAUCGCUGAAAGAUGAGCUCGCGUCUGAUUAGCUAGUUGGUAAGGUAACGGCUUACCAAGGCGACGAUCAGUAGCCGGACUGAGAGGUUGAUCGGCCACAUUGGGACUGAGACACGGCCCAGACUCCUACGGGAGGCAGCAGUGGGGAAUAUUGCACAAUGGAGGAAACUCUGAUGCAGCGAUGCCGCGUGAGGGAAGAAGGUUUUAGGAUUGUAAACCUCUGUCUUCAGGGACGAAAAAAGACGGUACCUGAGGAGGAAGCUCCGGCUAACUACGUGCCAGCAGCCGCGGUAAUACGUAGGGAGCGAGCGUUGUCCGGAAUUACUGGGUGUAAAGGGAGCGUAGGCGGGAUCGCAAGUCAGAUGUGAAAACUAUGGGCUUAACCCAUAAACUGCAUUUGAAGCUGUGGUUCUUGAGUGAAGUAGAGGUAAGCGGAAUUCCUAGUGUAGCGGUGAAAUGCGUAGAUAUUAGGAGGAACAUCAGUGGCGAAGGCGGCUUACUGGGCUUUAACUGACGCUGAGGCUCGAAAGCGUGGGGAGCAAACAGGAUUAGAUACCCUGGUAGUCCACGCCGUAAACGAUGAUUACUAGGUGUGGGGGGACUGACCCCUUCCGUGCCGCAGCAAACGCAAUAAGUAAUCCACCUGGGGAGUACGACCGCAAGGUUGAAACUCAAAGGAAUUGACGGGGGCCCGCACAAGCAGUGGAGUAUGUGGAUUAAUUCGAAGCAACGCGAAGAACCUUACCAGGUCUUGACAUCGUAUGCAUAGCUCAGAGAUGAGUGAAAUCUCUUCGGAGACAUAUAGACAGGUGGUGCAUGGUUGUCGUCAGCUCGUGUCGUGAGAUGUUGGGUUAAGUCCCGCAACGAGCGCAACCCUUACUGUUAGUUGCUACGCAAGAGCACUCUAGCAGGACUGCCGUUGACAAAACGGAGGAAGGUGGGGAUGACGUCAAAUCAUCAUGCCCCUUAUGACCUGGGCCUCACACGUACUACAAUGGCUGUCAACAGAGGGAAGCAAAGCCGCGAGGUGGAGCGAACCCCUAAAAGCAGUCUUAGUUCGGAUUGUAGGCUGCAACCCGCCUACAUGAAGUCGGAAUUGCUAGUAAUCGCAGAUCAGCAUGCUGCGGUGAAUACGUUCCCGGGCCUUGUACACACCGCCCGUCACGCCAUGGGAGUCGGUAACACCCGAAGCCUGUAGUCUAACCGCAAGGAGGACGCAGUCGAAGGUGGGAUUGAUGACUGGGGUGAAGUCGUAACAAGGUA